UGGGGAAUUUUGGACAAUGGGCGCAAGCCUGAUCCAGCCAUUCCGCGUGCAGGAUGAAGGCCCUCGGGUUGUAAACUGCUUUUGUACGGAACGAAAAGGCUCUGGUUAAUACCUGGGGCUCAUGACGGUACCGUAAGAAUAAGCACCGGCUAACUACGUGCCAGCAGCCGCGGUAAUACGUAGGGUGCAAGCGUUAAUCGGAAUUACUGGGCGUAAAGCGUGCGCAGGCGGUGAUGUAAGACAGAGGUGAAAUCCCCGGGCUCAACCUGGGAACUGCCUUUGUGACUGCAUCGCUGGAGUACGGCAGAGGGGGAUGGAAUUCCGCGUGUAGCAGUGAAAUGCGUAGAUAUGCGGAGGAACACCGAUGGCGAAGGCAAUCCCCUGGGCCUGUACUGACGCUCAUGCACGAAAGCGUGGGGAGCAAACA
rnacentral:rRNA from 1 species